rnacentral:rRNA from 1 species
GCGGCCUAUCAGCUUGUUGGUGAGGUAAUGGCUCACCAAGGCGACGACGGGUAUCCGGCCUGAGAGGGCGACCGUCCACACUGGGACUGAGACACGGCCCAGACUCCUACGGGAGGCAGCAGUGGGGAAUAUUGGGCAAUGGACGAAAGUCUGACCCAGCGACGCCGCGUGCGGGAUGAAGGCCUUCGGGUUGUAAACCGCUUUCAGCAGGGAAGAAGCGAAAGUGACGGUACCUGCAAAAGAAGCACCGGCUAACUAUGUGCCAGCAGCCGCGGUAAUACAUAGGGUGCAAGCGUUGUCCGGAAUUAUUGGGCGUAAAGAGCUCGUAGGUCGUUAAUUACGUCGGGUGUGAAAAUCUGGGGCUCAACCCCAGACCUGCACUCGAUACGGGUUAGCUAGAGUUUGGUAGGGGAGACUGGAAUUCCU